GAAAUCUGCGCCAAAAAGAGGCGAGGAUGUGUCCAGCGCGCGUGAAGUCCAAGGAAUGUCAGCUAUGUUGAUCUUGGGGUUACACCUGACCCUAAAACGCAUGCCUGAGUUGAUUUCCGCAGCUGCACCACUAGUGACGCGCUGACUCCAAAACGUCUAUUCCGCUGACUAGACAGUCUUCUCGGAAACCCGACAGGAGCUACCAGCUGGAGCUGGCAGCACCCUAGGCAAGAGGUCACAGUGGCGACUGCUCAAGCAACUCAAAGGAAGGUGGGGAGGAAAAGAAAACACGACCCAAAUUGACAAAUUUAGGAAAACCUUUUGCCCAACUUGGAUUGCCAGGCGGAAUUGGCGGACGCAAGGCUCAGAGUGGACCCGACCGCAGUCUUGAUUGCCGAGCCUCUGACGAAGGCUUGUAUGCGCGCGAGAACCCUGGCUUCAAGGCUGCUCUCGCGGCCGUUUUUUAGUCUCCAAAUGAGCCUAAUUUCGAUUUCCCGGCUAGCCUGAGCUGGCUCAGGAGACUUUGUCUGCCUCGUUGAUGGCUGCCUCUCCCCCUCCGCCAAGGCCGGAUCUGGGCGGUCCUUUCCCGUGUAUCUCCUGGAACCUCUCUGGGGAAGGGGGUAGUGAACAACUCCCAGCUGCCGGUUCCAUUUGUUGCGCCUUUUUCCUUUGACACAAUAAAAGUCAAAUUAAUUGAUUC
rnacentral:lncRNA from 1 species